AGGGCCGUAGCAACCGGGGGGCUGGAAAUCAUUCUUUUUUCAAAAUCAUGCAGACCUUUAUCAAUUUUAAGCUUUAUUAGUUUUAAGCGGCUACAUUAUCCAUGACAAACUGCAAAGAAUGAAGAUAUUACCCACACUUUCCUGCAACUUAUCCAAUAUAUAGUUAAUGAUACACCUUUGCCCAUUUAGCACUACGAAAUUGUAAAUUUCGACAUACUAAAACGCUGUUUUCUGACUAUCAGAAUUCUGUCAAAUCUUCCCCCAAAGUCCAGGAAAUGGCAUUUCAGAGACUCUAAACUUAAAAAUUU